rnacentral:lncRNA from 1 species
CCUCCUCCUCCUCCAAUCCAUUCCUUGUCGGUGGUCCCUUUCCUCUCCUCUCCUUCCUCCUUAUCUACUUCUCCUUCUCAGUCUCUUUCUCCUUCAUGCUCAUCUAUGGGCAAGGAGUAUUUUUCAUCUAUUGAGAGAAAAAGCUAAUACCAUUUGUUAGUAAGUGAAUAGAUAGACUAUAUUAGAAUAUAUCAAUAACUAGAAGGACUAGUUUGAUACUUUUUAAAGUAUAGUAGACAUAAGUAAAAUCAAGAUAAAAUUGAGGGGG